GCCGCGGCCGAGCCCCGUGAGGAGAGGCCGCGGCUCCUCAGGGGCGCGGGGACCCGCCGUGAGGCGGCCGAGGCCCCCGGAGACCCUCAGCGCCCUCAGCACCCGCAGCCCCCUCAGCACCCCGGGCCCUCUCAGCACCCCGAGCCUCUUCAGCCCCCUCAGCACCCGGAACCCCCUCAGCACUCCCGCCCGCCUCUCUCCUCACAAGGACGUCCUCCAGGGACCCCCUGGCACCUCAGAUAACGUGUUGGUUUGCUUCAAGUCGCCAGCAGCUGAGGGACAAUCACCCAGUUCAGCCUCAAUUUCGGCCACCACACUCCUGAAUGACAAUGGAUGAGGGAAAGGCAGUGGCGGAGAGGUCAAGAUGCCCCUGAGGUACUCCCAAAAUGCGUCUUCUUGUGGCCCUGGCAGAGGUUGUGGCUAAAUACUUGCUUUCUGCUGCAUUACCUUGGAGGUCUUUUCCAACCUUAAUGAUUCUAUGAUUUAUUGCUCAGGUAGGAACCAACAGCUAUGCUCGUUGUGUGUUCGCCUGGUGCCAUUCAUUCAAGGUGAGCUGUGAUUUCGCGUUUUAAUUACAGAGAUGUCAGGCCUGCAAACACCUACUUGUAGUGUUACUUCGCACCGUGGAGUUACAAGUGCAAAGGCAGGGAGUCGGAACCGCCAGGUGAAUUUGGCCCCAGUCCAUGUUUCAGGGGGUGACUGCGUUUGUCACAGCACUUGAACUGCUCAGAUGCAAAUCUGCCACAAAAAUUGUGUUGUUUCUUUCCUGGAAAAUGAUAAACAGCAUACUCCAUCUCAAAUAAACCCCAUCAUUUCUUAAGAAAUCCAAAUUGGCUCUAGAAUUUUUUGAAAUGCCACUUGUGGGAGUACUAACAAAUCCCCAAGGGUAUGCCUGAGUAUAGCAAAAUUUUUAUUUUAAUUCAACGAAGAAAAAUCGUAAUUCAGUGUUUCACAUUUUCUUCUGCACAAUUGUGUCACUAGAUGGCCUUCCAGACUGAAUGCAAAACGUGAUUGCGCUCCUCAUGUCUUGGAAUAACCUCUUUCAAAGAAAGGCCCUGCUUUGUACAGAGGGCGAACAGAGAGAAAGGAAAGGAUAUUUCAGUGACAGGAAGGAGGAGGGACACAUAAAUAACCAAUAAAGGGUCAUGGAAUUCCAAAUAAUAAUAAAAAGGUAGCCAAAUUCACACCUGUUUAAAGCUAACCUUUUUACUGAGGAAAUUUUGACAAAAACAUGUAGAAUACACAGGAUAUCUUUGAUAUCUUAUCUGCAAAAUAGUAAAAUCUGUCAGCUCCUGUAGGUUGCAGUGGCUGAGGGCAUUCCAGUAUUCCCAGUGCACAGGAAUGAAUGGCCCAGGAGUGAUUUGGUUUACCCUGGAAUAAUUUCUUUGAACCUGUCUCAAAACGAAUGGCAUAGUAGGGUGUGAUUAACAGGUAGACUUACUAGUCUUCCUUCUUCAGAGGUUUUUCAAUUCACUAAUUGCCAUAAAAGUUGUGGGGGGAUGAAAGUAUUUUGUGCAUCACUGUUACAUUGUUAGUUUUUUGUUUGUUUAUUUUUUUUCCAAGUCUCACAAAACAAAAUAAUUUCUACAUUUCUCAUUCUGUACAUUUUAUAGUUAAGGACACUUUAGAUUCGUACAGUUUUAGAUUUGGGAAUGAACAAUUUAAAAUGAGAAGACUAUAAAAUCAACUGUAAACUCUCCAAAGGCUCUUUUUAAGUGAUGGAUGUUCUAUUUGUGGUGGGGUAUCUUAGUAUUGACAAAAUACAGCAUUUCAGUGUCUCAGUUACAUAUUUUUAAUUAAUGGGUAUGCAGUGCGUCAGGCAGAAAAAGUCCUAUGCAAAAGCUAAGUGCAUUUUGCUGACUGAAAAAGUAAAAUCUAAUAUGGAAUUCUGCCACUGAUUUAAAUGGAAGAAGAUUCAACCCUCUAUUAGCGAAAUUCAAAUCUAAUCACUAUUAAUUGCAAGUGUCCUUCUCCUACUUUUGUUUUGGCCUGUAUAUUGAUUUUGGCACAAGUUCUGUUUCAUCAAAAGCUUGCACAUCUGCAGCUUGAGAAUCAGUAUGCAUGUAGAGAUUUACAGCGAGCACAUCAAAAUCAAGAACGUAAUGGGGUAUGGUAAAUAUCUGUGUUCCAUUCUGGGUGUCCCUCUCCGUCCCUUACAAGGUGCUUGAAAAAGACAACGAAACUGAGAUUUAAUAAUAUGAAAGGCCCAUGGAUUUUGUGACUACAGAAGGUCAAGUGGAGGAAGAGAAGCAUAAAGGUAAAUUUUUCUGCUCACAGAAUAUUGUUUUAGAUAGUAAAUACGAUAACAGGUUUGACAAAACACGCUGUUAGCAACAUUCUUCUGUUUGGGGAACUCUGAGCACUGCUGGAGUUCUAAGUUUCCACUCACUUAGGCUCUGUAGCGUAUGCCCUUAGGCUGAUGUGUAUGCCUUCCAAUAAUAUUUUUUAAUGGAAAAUACAACGAUUUUAGCUAGCCAGCAAGGUGUCAGACUGCUGGGACGUCCUUGUAUCCACAACUGCAGAGAGCAGUAACAGCAAACGCCAUCUGCUGUAUACUCAUGUUACUAGUUUAUAUUGUAACGUGAAGUAGACGAGAACGGGGACCUGUGCUUUCUAGAGUGUCUGUAGAUUUUUGAAAUACACUUCAGAAUUUUCUUCUUGAUAAUACAGACCCCAGCUUUUCAAAGAUUUAAACUUAACGUUAAGAAAUAGUCCCAUUUGUGUAAAAGAAAAUACUCGUAAACUUAGUUUAAAAUGUGCAUGAUGAGACAGUGACUUAUAUAUUCAUUUUUGAACAUUACCAGUGAUAAUAAUUGCGUUGUCAGUGAUGAACUCCCACUGAACUACACCGUGUGCAUACAGAGCAAGAGAAAACGCCCUGGAGAGUUUAUAAUCUCAAUGGGAAACACAGGCCCUAAAGACUGGGACUUACCACAUAAGUGCAGUGAAUUUCCAGUAAAUUUCAGAUGCUAUACAAGUGCCGCAAUUAUCUGUAAUGCACAAAAUGUGAAGAAUAAUCUCUGCCCAAAAGAAUUUACUAUGUGAACUGACAGGGCAGAUAGGGAAGGGGCAACUCUAUAGUGUAGGAGAGGUGAACUGUACCUUGCACACACAAAGGAGUUCCUGGUGACUGUCUGUGUAAGAAGAGCCUGCUAUGACAAAGCCAAGUAUGUACUCAAGGCAAUUCCAUUUAUUUACAGAACAGCUGUACAAAAUUGUUUUUUUCAAUUGUGCUUUUGCUCACAACCCCAAGCCUUUUUCGGCCCUCACGCCACACAGGAAAUCUCUUUUCAAAAUCAAAGCUCCCAGUCUCCUUAACUUUCAGCUGCUUCUCAGUAUCCAUUUCUGUAGUGCUUCUUGCUGUUUCUCUUGCACAUGCAGAGCCCUACCAUCUGGUCCUCGCGGCCUGAUAUUUUACACACACACCCCCGCCCCCAAAAUCCAGAAAAAUCCCUUGGGCCACAUGAUUCACCAUCUAUUCAGGCCUUGCCAUGUGCCUGGUUUUUGUGUAGUAGCCCCUACUGAUGCAAAUCCCUUGUUUCAGAAGGGGUCUCAAUUGCCUUUUUCACUGAAGGCAAGGUGGCUGUGACACCUGCCAGUUUCUAAGAGGUUUCUAAAACAUUAUUAUAUUGUUGUUUGGCUCAGUGGGAACGGUAUUUUUUUUUCCAAUAAAAACGUAUUAACUUUCUAGACUAUUAAGUAAUGUGGAAAAAUUAUAUUUCAGUAAGAAAAUUCCCUUUCUGCCUUUUCAUGCUUGAGGAAUAUAGUUCCUGUUUCACUUGGCUCAACUAGCCCGUGCACUAAAUCACUGCAAAAAUCCUUCAAUAAACUCUGCAUAAAAUCUGUCCAAAUGCUACCAUGGAGUUCAGAGGGCUAGGAAAGAAAACAGGACAAGUGUCUGUAGCAGGAGGCGUUGGCCAAAUGAGACACGCAACUCAGGAAAACCAGGCAAUGAAUAUUCGGGCACUGCGAGAUAGUUUGGACCAAUUUUGUUCAUAAACCACAGCUCGACUACUGCCUAGAGAGCAGCUAUUUAUAGGGAACGCGUUCUGUUUCUUGGGUUAUUUUCUCCAGUAGGCUUUGAAUCAGGGAUGCCAACUAUGUAGGCCAAAUUUCUCCUAUCUGAUAUGUACAUGGCCAGUGUUUUGGAUCUCACCUUUCAUUAAAACCCAAGUUCCUGGCUUUGCAGCUGUGGAAAAAAAAUAUAAAAUCUAUGAAUUUGAAGAGUGUAAAUCAACACAGCAGCGUCUCCGCCUGAUGCAGUGGGUGCUUAGGAGCACUUUCAAGUCUUCUGUUCCUCACUGAAGCGUGAAUUCUCAACCAAAUUCUGCUGGAAAAAAGUGGGGAAAGCAAGGUUAGGAUCAUCCUAUGCGUUUCUGGAACAUGGCGCAAGGACUGGUUUCUAAAAAGCAUGAAAUGAAUGAGUAUCUGCCAACAGCACCGUAACUGCCCCCGUGGAGCUGGGCAUCGUGCGCCUCCCGGAUGUGCUGGCAUGGCGAGGAGUUCGUCAGCGCUAGCACGGGGAUGCUGGAUCUCAACCUCUGUGCUUGAAAGGGAAGCUGGCAGGAUAAAGAAUGCCUCGAUGCAGGCAAGCUCUGCUGGUCGUGUUUGUGUUGGUGGCCGUGGCUGGUUUUGCCAUGGGAACCGUUAGGAGAAGUGGGUUCGGCGGUGAUGCACAGGCUUGCUCGUGGCUGGGUGAGUGCAGGGCUCGGCUACAGGACUGCAAGAAAUUAAUCCGCAUCUGCGUCCAGGUCUGCAGCUCAGAAUAGUCCGUCAGGAAGUAAUUUGGGGAAACACAGGGAAAGGGGCUGUAAAUGGCCUUUCUCGCAGCGCGUUGGUCUCGCCCCGCGUACAGCCCCUCUCUGACAUACACCCCUGCAGCCCCUCUGCCGGCUGCCUUCCCUCUUUCAUUCCCUCACCCUCCACCCAGCCCAGCUAAUAAUGAGAUGCUAGUUUUUGUUUGUUUAUUUGUUUGUUUUUCAAAACAUGUGCUGCCUGUAGUAUCUGCUUCCUUCAGAUAACUGUUCCCAUCUUUUCCCAUUCUCAACCACCAGGGUUGCACUGCAGGGAUGAGCGCUGCGGCCCGACGGGGAUGGCCAUGGCCGGGAAGUCAGUUGGUGGAUCCCACCAAACCCCAAGUAUGUUCUCUCUCUUUUCUGAGAGACUUUUGAGAACCUCAGAUUUAGAUGACCCCAGGUUUCAUUUGCUAAAUACGGGGCUUCAGUUGGGUAAGGUACAAGGCACCCCGAAUGCAGCGCUGUUAAUCAGCACAUCGUUAGCGACCCAUUAACCAUCACUCUCACACCUGGCCCCAGGAAGGUGGCUCCCAAACCUUUUGGACAAAACAUGGGGAAACGGUCAAUAUUCUUUGGGGGAUGAAAAAAGGAUGGCAGACAGGCUGUAGGAGAAGGCACUGGUGUGAAAUAGGGGCAGAGCAAUGCACCGCAUCGAAAUAAAGGGCCGAUAAUGCACUAAGCACACGUCCUCCCCUCCGGUUCUUGUGCAAACUUGCCAUGGAGGGCAGCGACUGCAGGCUGGGGAGAAGAUAAAAACUGCUGCGUGUCUGCGUUCGGGAGCCACCAUAACUUCUGCUGUAGGGUCCUGCGGCCCCAUGCUGGGCAGUGAGCUUGUUUCCUGCGCGUUCCUCUCUUCCUACGCGUGCUUCGCCCCUCCUGGCUCGCACCCGGACAGCAGGCACGCUGCGAAGUUCCCAGUUGCUUGCUGGGAUUAACGUAGCGGCUCUGGUUUCUUCAGGCAGGGAGGUUUCCUCGGUGAAACCAUUCUAAUUAAACUCUGGUCUCUCAUCGUGCUAAAAAUGCCCCUCCGUGGCACGCAGCUGAAGCUGCUUGUAAAAUGUCAGCGCCCCUGGACCUUUAAUGAUCUCAGGCCCUAGCAGUGGCAGAGGCAGUGCCUGUGCAAAGGCCCAGGACUGUGGACAAAUGAAUACAAAAAUAGAAUUGCUCCAAACCAGACUGACAAGACAAAAUCUUGCAAGUACAAACACCGGGCUGUGCAUUUCCCAGGCGUUUUACUGGCUUGAAAUUCACACACAGAGCCCACAGCAAAUCCUUUCCGCUGCAGGUCGCGGCGGGCACCUCGGUUUCCUUUUAGGACUCAAUUUUGGACCUGGGGAAAAGCGUGCUGAGCUGCCAGGGCUGACCAUGGAAGAAGGCAACAGCUGCAAGGGCUUCGAUUCCUCUCCCCACGCCUCCUGUACAAAUGCGUCCCCAGCCUGGAGGAGCUGGGGAGAGGAACGUGGUGGUCCCCGGCCUCCCUGCCAGCUCUGCUGGCAUCUCCCAUCCCGCAGGCGAUUGCACGUUGGGCUUUGAGACCAUGAAGUUUGUUUUUUUUUUUUUUUUUGCAUACAGGCAGCUGAACGGUGGUGGGGCUAGAAUCUCUUUUGGUCCCAAUAACCCUGAAGAUGUUUGUGACGCUUUUUUACAUCCCUUACGCAACACGGCAGGAGUUUGGGAUCGUUUAGCACCGCAGGAAUCGCUUCUACACACUGAGAGCAGCAAGUCUGCCCAACGUGCUGGCAGGCAGCGUGUGGGGAAGAGGCAGGAGAGCGUGCAGGGCAGGAUGCGGGGCAGCUCCCAGAGGAGAGAUGGGGAGAAAAGUAGCGAUGGCGUUGUGGAUGCACUGGAGGCUAACUUCAGUUAGGCAUUAGCAACGGCCUGCACCUUGAAGGUUAAAACAAUUAAAGUAUAUGGAAAAGGCAUUUGAAUUUAAGACUUAUAGAAAAAAAAAAACAACAAAUGCACAAAAACACAGAAAAGCUAAAGCAAGUAUAAAAAUAAAUCAGAAGCUAGGCAAAGGUAAGAGCAGAGCCUGCAGGAAUCCCAUCUAAACAAAAGGCACGGGCUAGCCAGGGAGAAAACCCCAAAUGGCAGGGGUUGAAAUGUAAAACCUACAGUCCACUGAGAAACAUGAAUGAUGCUGUUGUAUUCCACACCUCCUUUUCCCGGGUGAAGCUGUCUCCGCGAGGUGAAAGGCAGUAAUGAAUCAAGCUCCUUUCCUCUCUCCCUGUAUUUUCCUAUUCAAUUAUUCGCAGCCUGUGCAAGUUCUGCUUUAUUUCCCCUCUCCAUAUGCUGCACUCCCCUCCUGUUUUUUUUUUUUUUUUCCUCUUUUUUCCUAUUCCGAAUUGUGCAUUUGCCUCCCUCCCAUUUCUCUCUCCUCGGCGCGUGCCCCCUGCUCUGCUAAGAUCUGCUGCCUUUGUAACCUCCGCUGUGCGCAUAUGCUGCCUCUCCCUCGCCCUCCCCUGCUCCUGCUCACGGCCCUUCGUGUCAGGGUCCUGCGAGGCAGCCAGGACAGAAAACAAUCAGAAAACAAUUCCACCAUGGCCGCUGCUGGCUCCUCUCCGCUCGAUGCAGGGGACCCCGUGCUGCUCCCUUAGCACAGCUGAUUGGUGGCGCGGCGAGGCCGGCUCUGCAGCUGCUUAGCAACUGGGCGCUGCUGCUAUGCAGGCGGGAUGGAUGGCAAGGCAUCCACUUCCCCACGUCCUGGCCCGCUCGGCUGAGAACCGGGGCUGAGCUCCCAAACCUCCUGACAAAAAAUAAAUCGGGACGGGGAUCCUCGCGUGCUGAUAUAGGAGCAACGGCAGCAAGGUCAAGGGCAAAACCGCCUUUUAUCGCAUGUCGUAGGUUGUUUGCACCGCGGCAGUUAGAAGGAAAUGCUCCGAUUUGUAAGCUGAACUCCUUCCAUUUGAUCUUUGUCGUCGCUUUGCUGGCUGUAACGUUUGGUGCUCCAUCACUUUAAUCAGACGUCCCCUCGGUGCCCUGCGUUUGUUAAAAAGGCUCACAGGUCUCCAACCAGCAUCGCGUUUAAGGCUGCUUAAUGACAGGUGUCCAGACACACGAGUAUUUUAAUGCAUAAAUACCUUCUCAGGUCACUUAUCUCUGUCUUUGUGUGCUUUUGAUGCAAACUCUGCGAGUGUCAGAAUUUUUUAAAUGGUACAUUCCUUUUUUUUUUUCCUUUAAAAAACCAUACUGUUUAGGCCGUGAAGCAAUGAAGUGAAAUGUUUAGUAAUUUGACAGCUUUAAAACAUUGAUUAGAAUUGCCAACCUUCUUGAUUUAUUUAAUGAUUUUUGUAAGCAUGAAAGUACUCCAAACAAUAACCGGUUGUACAUACUGAUGGGAUCACAGCGUUUCAAUGGCAGCUGCAUUUCAAUGGCAAGUAGCAACACAAAACAAUCUGCAAGUCAGGUGUUGAAACAGCUUUUUUAUUCUUUUAAAGCUCAAGAAUGAUUAGAUCUCUGAAAGCACUCACUACCUAUCUUACAGAGGUGGCUUUGUCAUAAUACUACCAGAAAUAAAAUGAACAGAUGCAGUUUAAAAGGAAAA